UACGGGGGGGGCAAGCGUUGUUCGGAAUUACUGGGCGUAAAGGGCGCGUAGGUGGCCAACUAAGUCAGACGUGAAAUCCCUCGGCUUAACCGGGGAACUGCGUCUGAUACUGGAUGGCUUGAGUUCGGGAGAGGGAUGCGGAAUUCCAGGUGUAGCGGUGAAAUGCGUAGAUAUCUGGAGGAACACCGGUGGCGAAGGCGGCAUCCUGGACCGACACUGACACUGAGAAGCGAAAGCCAGGGAGCAAACGGG
rnacentral:rRNA from 1 species